UUGACUAUUUGAUAUCUACUCGGACUUCACUGAUAAACAGAAUUUGAUUGAACCCCUGGCGGGCGCGAGCCACCCCCCAGCAUGAAUCGCCGGGGAUUGGUAUGAGCCGUAUAGCCUACUCAAGGCCCGCCAAAGCAACAAAGGUAAGGUAAACAUGGGGUUGAGAUACACGAUGGGCGGCAUCCGAGUCGUCUAGGUUACCAUUCCAGUUUUAAGACGACUUGAUCGGCAGGCACCCACCGCUGGGGGCUAGGCCCCCUAACUCAUUAAUGAUCCUUCCGCAGGUUCACCUACGGAAA
rnacentral:misc_RNA from 1 species